rnacentral:tRNA from 1 species
GAGGGUAUAGCUCGGUGGUAGAGCACAUGCUUAGCAUGCACGAGGUCCUGGAUUCAAUCCCCAGUACCUCCA